CCCCUCUUAGGGUCGCACCUGGAGAGUUUCCAGUACUCUUCCAGUCUCUAUUAUAGGAGGGAGAGUCAAGCAGAGGCAUAUCCACUCCAUUCCUAGGCUAGGCAGUGGCUAGUGAGUGGAAGGCCAUCUGCUACAAGU